rnacentral:lncRNA from 1 species
CUUUCAAGCUUGGGUUGAAGGUAAAGUCUCAACAUGUGUCAUGGGCUUUAUUUGGUAAAUUUAUUUUCUCUUCCCCUCUAGUUUUUGUGGAUGUUUUGACUUCUCGUCGACAAAUAAUACUAAUCUUGUCUAGUACCGCCUUAGUUUCACCGGCCCUCUAGUACAAGGUUAUUAUUAUUUGGCACGAUAAGCCCUUAGCACCAUAUUGAUUAGAGCGUGGUUCAUGAAGUGUGGAUUCCCCCCUCAUGAUUUAAUUGGCAUUAAUAUGGAUUAUUUAUCCCAUGAUACAUGUUGAUACGGAUCUGUUGAGUGUUAGAAAAUGCAUAUUUAUAAAGGAGAAAACCGUCAUUUUACAUUUCAAGUCUUACUAACAACCCUUACUUUUAUGUAUUUAACCUUCUUGUGAUUUAAUUACAUGUGUUUUAUUUUAAUUAAGUAUUUUAUGUAUUUUAAGGGCAUUAUAGUCAUUUCACAAUAAAGGAGAAAUCAGACGGCAAAACGGACAUCACUUUUGAACUCAGGACAGUCGAAAACCUUAGGAGGAGCAUAAAAGAAAAAAUGGCACUAUUCAUAUGUACGGUACUAUUCACGUGUACGGUACUAACUACGUUACUGUUCACAACACUGUUCACAUAGACGGAUCGAUGACGUGGCAUUGACCGAUGAUGUGGCAUUGACUGAUGAGGUGUCACGAUCCUGUUAGGCUAAAAUUCUUAUGUAUUGUUGAUGGUGACGUGGCAGCAUAUCAGUGGAUGAAAAAUCUCGCGUACGGUACAUGCAUCACACAUGAUUAUUUUCAACCAAACCACGUUACUGUUCAUCAGAGUCAAACCGUGUUACUGUUCAUCCGCAUGGUCAAACCGUGGACUGUUGACUGAUGACGUGGCGCAAUCCUGAGCGUCUAAACUGUUUUUAAUCCGAUGGCCAUGAUUUACUCCAUGUAUCUAUAAAAAGGGGGCCUCCCCCCCUAAUUUGAUAUCUCUAAAUCCAUUUUUGGGAUCCAUUUUAUGUAAUUCCUUCUCCAUCUUGUAUUUUCUUCGUAUUUUAAUAAAUUCCUAUUUUGCCCCUAGUUCAAUUAUGAGUGGCUAAUUUUCUUUCAAGCUUGGGUUGAAGGUGAAGUCUCAACAUGUGUCAUGGGCUUAAUUUGGUAAAUUUAUUUUCUCUUCCCCUCUAGUUUUUGUGGAUGUUUUGACUUCUCAUCGACAAAUAAUAAUAAUCUUGUCUAGAUACCGCCUUGGUUACACCGGCUCUCUAGUAUAAGGUUAUUAUUAUUUGGCACGAUAAGCCCUUAGCACCAUAUUGAUUAGAGCGUGGUUCAUGAGGUGUGGAUUCCCCUCUCAUGAUUUAAUUGGCAUUAAUACGGAUUAUUUAGCCCAUGAUGCAUGUUGAUACGGAUUCAGAUACCCAAGUACGUCAUUUCAAUAGAAUUAUCUUCAAUUUAUUCUCGCCAUUGCAAUUUCAAUUUUAGAAUUUAUUCUUGCCAUUUUAAUUUAAGUUUUAGCAUAUUCCAAACCAUUUCCACCAUAAAUCCAACCACCCAUUUACAAAAUUAAUUCUACACAUAAUUAAAAUCCACCUCCUCGUGGGAUCGACACUCGUCACCAUUGAUCUAUACUACAAUAGAUUCGUGCGCUUGCGAGUACAUUAAAAUUUGCACAACAAGUUUUUGGCGCCGUUGCCGGAGAGGUAAGUAAUUUUAAUUCAUAGAAUUAAUUUUUGUGAAUAAUUUCUUUUAUUUGUUUUCUUGUAUUUUUUUUAUUAUUAAAAAAAAGAAAAAGAAAAAAAAGUGAAUCUACAUUUAAAGGUUAGUAUUUCUUUUCUUUUUCUCUUCUUUAAAAUUCUGUAAUUUAAUUUUCAAUUUAUUUUUCUUUGUAAUUUUUUUAUUUAUCUUAUUAAUUUAUUUUUAGUUAAUUUAUUUCACGUAUUUAUUUUUGUGUAUUUUUAUAGAAAGGUUUUAAUAGCGCAAUAAGGUUAGUAUCGUAAUUUCUCUCUCUUCUUUAUUUUUAUUUGUUUUGUUCCCAUCUUUAUUUUUAUUUUAUUUGUUUUGCAUACAUGGUCGUAGGUCAUUAUUACCUAAUCUUGAACCUAUAGACCUUGAAUUAAAAAAAACACUUCGUACACACAAACAAAUUAAAAAUAAAAUGGAUUUACAACCACAGGAGAGGCCAUUUAAGGACUACUUCAGUCCUUUAGCUAAUUUGAGCACAUCAUGCAUAAGAUACCCAAAUGUAGCUGCUAGGAGCUUUGAACUAAAACCUAGUGUGCUAAAUUGUCUCCCCACAUUUUAUGGCCUAGAAAAUGAGGACCCAUAUAAUCAUCUGAAUGAUUUUCAUGCUAUUUGUCAAACGUUUAAAUACGAGAAUUUUUCAGACGAUGAUGUUAAACUUAGAUUAUUCUCAUUUUCUUUAAAAGAUAGAGCUCGUUCAUGGUUAAAUACUUUACCUGCUAAUAGCAUCACAUCAUGGGAACAAAUGGUAACUAAAUUUUUGAAUAAAUAUUUCCCAGUGCAUAAAACCAAUGCUAUUCGCAAGGAAAUCUCGGAGUUUACCCAGAGAGAGGACGAGCAAUUUUUCGAAACAUGGGAGCGAUUCAAUGGGUUACUCUUGAAGUGUCCACAUCAUGGGUACGAAAAAUGGCACCAAUGCCAAUACUUUUUGGAGGGAUUAUUGCCGAAUGUGCAAGAAUGGCUAAUGACAACAAGUGGAGGAGAGCUAAUGUCAAAAAGUGCAUCAGAGAUUUGGGAAUUCUUCCAGCAAUAAGCGGAUAAUUCCCAACAACGGAGUCGAUCACUCAGGAAUACUAGAAGAAUUAAGGGAGUAAAUGAGGUUCACAUUGGCGAGUCAAGUUCAGAAAUUAAAGAAGUCAAAGCGAUAAUUGAAGGUCUCUCUCGACAAAUAGCAUCGUUAUCGACUGCUAAAUCAACAGAGCCACAUGACCAUGACUCAUACUCAGAUCAAGCCAAUGCCAUAAGUGUAAUGAGAAAGCCAUCAAAUUACAACCCAUACUCCAACACAUAUAACCCUGGAUGAAGAGACCACCUCAAUUUUUCAUGGUCUCAAGGAUUCCAACAGAAUGGACCAGCAGCUCCAGCUCCACCAAUUCCUCAAAAUCCUCAAGCCUCUCAGCCACCAUUUAGACCAUACAAUCAGAACCAGAACUACUCUCAGCCCAGACCAUGGGAGGAUGCAUUCCAGAAUUUCAAAAAUGUUACUCACUCCACGAUUGAGCAACAGAACCGCACCAUUGAUAGACUACGAAAUGAGUUGAGAGCAGGCUUUAAUUCACAAGCCCAAUCAGUUUCAAGCCUCGAAAAGAUGGUGGGACAACUUGCUUCUUCAGUUUAGACAUUGGCAAUGACUGUUGAGAAAUGCAAAUUUCCAAGUCAACCAGUGCCUAAUCCUAAAGGAGUACAUGAAGCAAGUACCAGUUCACCACAGCAGCAUGAAGAGGUCAAAGCAAUCAUGACCUUGAGAAAAGGAAAAGAAGUCGACAACAAAUUAGAGAUGCCGGUGACAAAAGAAAAUCAAAUUGUACCUGUGAAUGUUGAGGAAUCAUCACCGGAGGAGAAAGAAGAAACUAACCCACGGGAAUAUGUUCCCAAAGCUCCAUUUCCUCAGAGGUUAGCUAAAGGAAAAAAGGGAAAAUCCACAGGUGAGAUUCUUGAAAUCUUCAAACAGGUAAGUGUUAACAUCCCUUUACUUGAUGCUAUUAAGCAAGUUCCAUCUUAUGCCAAGUUUCUUAAAGACCUUUGUACUAAAAAGAGAAACAUGCAUGUUCAAAAGAAGGUAUUUUUAACAGAAAACGUUAGUUAUAUCCUCUAACAUAAAAUUCCUCUAAAAUGCAAAGACCCAGACUCCCCCACUAUCUCAUGUAGCAUGGGGAACCACACAAUUGAGAAUGCUUUAUUGGAUUUAGGAGCUAGUGUAAAUCUGUUACCUUAUUCAGUGUUUGUGAAACUUGGACUUGGAGAAUUACACCCAACUCCAGUGGUGUUACAGCUUGCAGAUCGGUCCACGAAAAUACCUCGUGAUAUUAUGGAGGACGUGCUUAUCCAGGUAGACAAGUUUUAUUUUCCUGUUGAUUUCAUUGUAAUUGACACUCAACCAAUACAGGAUUCAAGGAAGCACAUCCCCAUUAUUCUAGGCCGACCUUUCUUGGCAACUGCGGAUGCUCACAUUCAAUGCAGGACUGGAAAUAUGCAGUUGUCUUUCGGCAAUAUGACUAUGGAGCUAAACAUUUUCAACAUUGCCAAACAACCUCACAAUGCAGAUGAUGGAAUUGUUGAUGUGGAUUUAAUAGAAGCAUUAGUUGAUGACACUCUUGUUUCAAACCUUAGUGAUGAUUCUUUACAAACAUGCUUAACUCACUUUGGUUUUGAUUUUGAUAUUGACAUAUCGGUCGAAGAGGUCAACGCCCUGCUUGACUCAGCACUAUCUAUGGACACUAAUAAACGGAAGUCAAGAGUUGAGCAACUAGCACCAUCAGAGAAGAAACCCAUCCUAUCAUCAGAAUCACCACCGAAACUCGAGCUCAAACCAUUGCCCAACACAUUGGAAUAUGCAUUUUUGGGAGAAGAAAGUACUCUACCGGUAAUCAUCUCAUCAUCCCUAAAUGAUGAACAAAAAGGUAAGUUGUUGGAUGUUUUAAAAGAGCACAAAGGAGCAUUAGGAUGGACCAUAGCAGACAUAAAAGGUAUAAACCCAGUAGACUGCAUACAUUACAUUCACCUUGAUGAAAAUGCUAAAUCUACUAGGGAAAUGCAACGUCGGUUAAAUCCUAACAUGAAAGAAGUUGUUAGAACUGAAGUCCUUAAGCUAUUAGACGCAUGUAUCAUUUACCCCAUUUCUGAUAGUUCAUGGGUCAGUCCUGUGCAAGUUGUCCCCAAAAAGUCAGGAGUCACAGUAGUUACGAAUGCUGAUAAUGAAUUGAUACCCACUGGAGUAACUACAGGAUGGCGUGUAUGUAUUGAUUAUAGGAAGUUGAAUUCUGUCACACGUAAAGACCAUUUUCCUUUACCAUUUAUUGAUCAAAUGCUUGAUAGAUUAGCAGGCCAUGAAUUUUAUUGCUUUCUAGAUGGCUACUCAGGAUAUAAUCAGAUUCCCAUAGCACCAAAAGAUCAAGAGAAAACUACUUUCACUUGCCCUUUUGGCACAUUUGCAUAUAGGAGAAUGCCAUUUGGAUUAUGUAAUGCACCUGCUACAUUUCAACGAUGCAUGCUAAGCAUUUUUUCUGAUAUGGUUGAACGAUUUCUUGAAGUCUUUAUGGAUGACUUUUCUGUCUUUGGUGACUCGUUUAAUCAAUGUUUACAUCAUUUAACACUAGUUUUGCAGAGAUGUAUCGAGAAGAACUUGGUCUUAAAUUAGGAGAAAUGUCAUUUUAUGGUAAAACAAGGUAUUGUUCUCGGUCACAUCAUUUCGAGCAAAGGUAUUGAGGUUGACAAAGCCAAGGUGGAUCUCAUUUCUAAUCUUCCUUCACCCAAAACAGUCAGAGAAGUAAGAUCUUUCCUUGGGCAUGCUGGUUUUUAUAGACGUUUCAUUAAAGAUUUUAGCAAAGUUUCUAGACCCUUAUGCAAUCUACUUGCUAAGGAUGUACCUUUUGUCUUUGAUGAUUCAUGUCUUGUUGCGUUUGAAAAAUUAAAACAUUUGUUGACAUCAUCACACAUCAUUCAGGCCCCAAACUGGAGCUUACCAUUUGAGCUAAUGUGUGAUGCAUCUGACUAUGCAGUAAGAGCAGUAUUAGGACAAAGAGUUGAUCGAAUUCCGCAUGUUAUUUACUAUGCUAGUAUGACAUUGAAUGAUGCACAAUUGAACUAUUCAACUACUGAAAAAGAAAUGCUAGCAGUAGUGUUUGCAUUGGAGAAAUUUCGAUCUUAUCUCAUUGGUUGUAAAAUAAUUAUAUUCACAGAUCAUGCUGCUCUUAAAUAUCUUCUCACAAAGAAAGAUGCAAAAGCUAGACUAAUUCGUUGGGUGUUACUUUUGCAGGAAUUUGACUUGGAAUUCAAAGAUAAGAAAGGGACAGAAAAUGUUGUGGCGGACCAUCUCUCUCGUCUCCAUUUUGACACAAUUAUAGAACCAUUACCAUUAAAUGAUUCAUUUCCAGAUGAACAAUUAAUGAGUGUGGAAGUAUUACCUUGGUAUGCUGAUAUAGUUAAUUAUCUUGUUACAGGUAAACUUCUAGAGCAUUGGACCAAACAAGAUAAGGCUAAAUUCUUUGCAGAGAUAAAGAAUUUCUUUUGGGAUGACCCUUAUUUGUUCAAGUAUUGUGCAGACCAAAUUGUUAGACGAUGUGUCCCAGAAAAUGAAAUUAAGAAUAUUCUUUCAUUCUGCCAUGAACAAGCUUGUGGAGGCCAUUUCAGUACUAAGAAAACAGCGACUAAAGUUUUACAAUGUGGUUUCUAUUGGCCAUCUAUAUUUCGAGACGCUUACACUUUCUGUUCUUCGUGUGAUAGGUGUCAACGAAUGGGGAGCAUUACGCGAAGGAAUAUGAUGCCACUAAAUCCAAUUUUAGUGGUUGAGAUUUUUGAUGUAUGGGGUAUAGACUUCAUGGGACCCUUUCCCCCGUCUUUUGGCCAUCAAUACAUAUUGGUUGCUGUUGACUACGUAUCAAAAUGGGUAGAAGCAAUUCCAUGUAGGACCAAUGAUCACAAGGUGGUGAUAGCAUUUUUGAAAAGCAACAUUGUUUCACGCUUUGGAUUCCCUCGAGCAAUAAUUAGUGAUGGUAGUGCCCACUUUUGUAACAAAGCAUUCAAAGCUCUUUUGACAAAGUAUUCAAUCACACACAAAGUGGCAACCCCUUAUCAUCCGCAAACUAGUGGCCAAGUUGAGAUAUCCAAUCGAGAAAUAAAGCACAUAUUAGAAAAAACGGUGAGGCCAGACAGGAAAGAUUGGUCAUUAAGACUUGAUGAUGCCUUAUGGGCAUAUAGAACGGCUUUCAAGACCCCGAUUGGGAUGUCACCCUACAGGCUAGUGUAUGGAAAAGCUUGCCACCUACCUGUGGAACUCGAGCAUCGUGCGUAUUGGGCCAUCAAGAAAUUCAAUUUUGACAUGCAGCAAGCCAGCUCAGAAAGAAGAUUACAGCUGGCAGAACUUGAAGAAAUUCGUAAUGAUGCAUACGAAAAUGCCAAGAUUUACAAGCAAUGAAUGAAAGUCUUCCAUGAUAAGCAAAUUAUGAGAAAAUCGUUCACUCCAGGUCAGAAAGUGCUUUUAUUCAAUUCUCGCUUGCACCUAUUCCCAGGUAAGUUACGCUCUCGUUGGUCUGGCCCAUUUAUUGUUCAUACUGUUUUUCCACAUGGGGCAAUUGAAAUUAAAGACCCAAAGAACGGUGUCACGUUUAAAGUUAAUGGUCAAAGAUUAAAGCCAUAUCUAGAGCACCAACCACAUGAAGAAGACACCGAAAUAAAUUUGAGUGACCCACCAAAUUUGAAUUGAUUUUUUUUUAUUUUCGUUGAUUUGAUUUUUCUUUCUUUCUUUUUAUUAUUAUUCUUUUGCUAAUUGAAAUUGUUUUUGCAUAAGUGUGUUUAUUUUACCAUUAAGUUUUCUCUUAUCAUUUUUAAUCAUGAGUCUCAUACUUAGACCGUUCCUCCUGAACAUUCUUAAACCACUUCAACGUGUCAAAACUCAUCUCAAAAGGCAGAUUCAAUUUUGUAAAACACAACGCAUUUGGGCUCUACAACCACCAUAGUUAGUAGCCUAUGUUGAGGGUUUAGAACGCCAACUCAGAGACAUUGAGAGAAGUGUUUACGACAUCCAGUUAGAGCUUGAGGUAAAUUCAAUAAGAGGAUGAUUUUAAUUUUCUUUGUGUGUUUUAAUUUAUUUUUUUUAUUUGUGUGCUUUAGUUUGUUACCCUGGUGAAGUGGCGGAUAACGGUACUCCGUGACAAUCAAGUCGGUUACUUUAGUUUCCCAUAAUAACUGAUAUUCUGAGGCGAAGGUAUGGACAGAAACGAGAUUCUAGCGAAACUUCACAAGCAAUUCCCUUCACUUCCUCAGAAUGCCCUCCUUACGAUCUAUAAAGCUCGGUCCGAACGCAUGCGAUUACUCAUGAGGAAUAACAUACUUGCUGAUAUCCGUUGGUUAAUCGAGGCUAAAGUACGAUCGGCAGGUGAGUUACCUCCAAAAUUUAUUGCAUACAUGCCUGGUUGUGGUAAAGAAAAUUAUGCAAGAAAACGACGAGCUCGAAGAAUUUCUGUUGCUUGUCAUAAGUGUGCCAGAAUGAGUUGCAAUAAAAACCCAUGUUCUUUAGGAAUGAUGUCUGAUAACAGGGAAGAUAAGAUUCAAUUCAUUAGGGAUGACUUGAAUAAGGAGUCAUUGGAUGAUAUCCUUUUGUCUCUUGAAACGCAUCCCAGUGGAUAUGUGCAAGGAGCGAUUCUCCAGUUAUGGCCAUUAUUCCAGAAAGAGCAUGCACGAUAUAUUCUCGGGAAUCUAACUAUAAACGACUCUGUUUGCCAGUUUAUAAGAAAACUGGAUAGGAAGCCUAUCCUCGACCCAUAGAGGGCGUUCAAGCCGUUUCUGGACGUAAAACCAGAGGAAGAUGUGAGCCACAGUUGUUAUUUUAUUUCACUAUUGUCUUAUUGUUUGCAUUAUUGUCUUUAAUAAUUUUAUUACUGUUUGCUUUUUCCUUAUUACUGUUUGCUUUUUCCUUUUUACUGUUUCUUUUUGACUCGCGAGCCACGUGCUUUACGCGUUAUUUGACAUUGACAUGUGACCUCAUACACAACUAUGACCCACUAUCACCAAGACUCUUAAAUGUGAUUUUCUUUGUCAAGCACUCACAAAUUAUUUUUGCGAAGUAUCACAAUGGCAGCUACUCCCAAUAGACAAUUCAAGAACAUUUGUGUGCUUUCUGGAUUUACAUAUGGCAAACAUAAAGAGUUCGUUGAGGCAGCCAUAGAUCUUGGUCGAAGCAUAGCAGCGAGAAAAUUACACUUGGUGUAUGGAGGAGGUAAUCGAGGGUUAUCAAAAAUGGUCUCAGAAGCAGCUUUUAUCAGAGGAAGUCAAGUGUUAGGCAUCAUCCCAAGAGUCGUAAAACCAUUAGGCAGUUCGUCUGACUCAUCAACUGGAGAAGAGUUAGUCGUCUCAGGUAUGCAGGAAAGAAUAACUGAAAUGCUUAAUCAUGCUGAUGCUUUUAUUUUCCUUCCAGGAGAUCUUGCAACACUAGAGGCACUUAUCACGCUAGCAUCUUGGGUCCAUCUCCACAUCCACCAGAAACCCAUCGGUUUGUUAAAUGUAAAUAACUUUUAUGAUGGCUUUAUCGCAUUUCUUAACCAUGCAAUAAAAAACUAUUUCAUUCCCGCUAAUGUGAAAAAACUCUUUAUUUGUGCUCACACUGCUAAUGAGCUACUUGAUCUGUUACAAGCUUAUAGAUCGGAGCCAGACCCCUGGACCUUUGUGUUGGAGCGUCCAAAUAAUGAUGGUAACAGUAGCAGCAGUAAGAAGUACAAAUUAGAUUUAACUCUCCGCCUGUAAAUAUUUUCUUCUGUGUUGCACCACCCAGGUGAUGCCUUCUAAACUCUACUUCUUUCCUUUCAAACAUUGAGGACAAUGUUUCGUUCUGGUUAGGGGGAGAGAAUAGUCGAUAAUUGUGGAAUCUUGGUUAGGUUUUUACUGAUUUUUUGUUGUAGAAACUAACUGUUGCUAACUUUUUGUGUUGAAGAUGGCUGAAUAUGGAGUGUAGUUACUCUAGAAACGCAUCUUCAUCGUUUGAAAAAAAAAUCAAAAAAAAAAUUUGCACAUUUUCUUUUUCUUUAUUAAGUUUUGAUGUUUAUUUUUCUUCUUAUUAAUUUCUCCUCUAUGAAUAUAUAUUUUCCAACUUUUGAGUCGAAGAUGGCUGAAUAUGGAGUGUAGUGCCUCUAGAAACGCAUCUUCUUAGUAAAAAAAAAAAACCAUUUUCUUUUUCUAUCAUUUUAAGUGUACUUUUUCUAAUUAGUUUUUUUUUUUUUGCAUCAUUUUCACAUUUCUGCAUGCAUAUUUUCCUUUCAUGUUUAGAAUAGGUUGGGGGGUAGAAUGUUGUUUAAAAAAAAAAUUGUGUGAUUUGUUUUAACAUUGGGUGACAUGAUUAAUUUAAAUUUUAGUAUUUGUAUUAUCUUUGGUCUUAAGUGAUGUUACAUUAUGUUUGCUACUCUACAUGUUGAUGUCGGAGACAUAUAUGAGUUGCUUGAAGGAAUGAACAUGUCAUAAUAAAUACCAAGUGAGUUUUUGAGCCUAUCAUUUUUCUUGGAGAGUAACCCUUUUGCCCAUUUUUUAUACAGCUUAACAGUUUAUUAUUGUAUACACGAUCUCUAGAUUUUUUUUGAGUUAACCCUUAAUAAAAAAAAGAAAAAAAAAGUGUGUUGCUAUAUUUGGAGGCCCAUCUAACUAGUAGAUAUGGAAGAUUAUUUAGAGCCCUAAAAGACGAUGGAAAGGCCAUCUUUGAUCCGUUUGAGUCUUUCUAGCCAUCCCUUUUAUCAAAUAUCCAUAGUUAACCUUUUUGAGCCUUUAAAAAAAAAAAAACUUUUUUCUUUGUCAACUUAUCAUCUUGACCCACUCCGAUUUGGAGUAUUACCCAAUGUCUUAUAAGUUCCAUCACCUAUUUAUGUUUGAGAAAAUGUAAAUAAUUAUGUUGUUCAGUAAAGUUAUGCAAAAAAAAAAACAAACAAAACAAAAGUUUUUGUUUCAAAAGAAAAAAAAUAAAAAUAAUAGGUGAAAUCCACCUUGCAACUUCCAAAAAAAAAAAAAUUCUCUGCAUUUUUCUCAAACAUACACUUUGUUUUCCUUAUUUUCCUUCUUUGUUAGCCAUGUCCCUAGCCUACGUUACGUCCUAAUAAAAGUCCUUCUUGAUUUUAGGGAACUAUAGUUUGAAGUAGAAGCUAGUUAUAUGGGCUAAAAAGAUGUAGUGAUGCAUAAUAAAAAAAAAAGAUAAAUAAAUUGGGUUGACUAGCAUUUUUGUUUGACUUGAGAUCGUAUUAUUUCUAAGCUGAGGGCAUAUUUAUUUCAUCUUGGUGAGAGCAUGUGAUAUCACUUCUUUAUUAUUUUCUCUCUCAAUUACCAUUCAUUGGAGUGAUUAUUUUUAUUGGUUUUAAUUUCUUUGUGAGAGUGUCACUACUUCCAGUGAGAUUUUGGGGUUUGACAUGUCAUUCUUGAAAGUAGCUAUGACAAAGUCUACUGGGCUGAUUCAUGUGGAUGGUUGAUGUGGGUGUGAUGUUGCUUUAGACUUGAGAUAAUGCUUAUACUUUUAUUUGAUUGCUAUCAUUAAUCUGACGGAAUAAAUACGAGUGUUUCUAUUAAAAAAAACAAUAUUUUGAAUUUGAAUUUUGUUUUCGCUUUAUUUGCUAGGGACUAACAAUAAGCUGGUUGGGGGGUGUGUUGAGUGUUAGAAAAUGCAUAUUUAUAAAGGAGAAAACCGUCAUUUUACAUUUCAAGUCUUACUAACAACCCUUACUUUUAUGUAUUUAAUCUUCUUGUGAUUUAAUUACAUGUGUUUUAUUUUAAUUAAGUAUUUUAUGUAUUUUAGGGGCAUUAUAGUCAUUUCACAAUAAAGGAGAGAUCAGACGGCAAAACGGACAUCACUUUUGAACUCAGGACAGUCGAAAACCUUAGGAGGAGCAUAAAAGGAAAAAUGGCACUAUUCAUAUGUACGGUACUAUUCACGUGUACGGUACUAACUACGUUACUGUUCACAAUACUGUUCACAUAGACGGAUCGAUGACGUGGCAUUGACCGAUGAUGUGGCAUUGACUGAUGAGGUGUCACGAUCCUGUUGGGCUAAAAUUCUUAUGUAUUGUUGAUGGUGACGUGGCAGCAUAUCAGUGGAUGAAAAAUCUCGCGUACGGUACAUGCAUCACACAGGAUUAUUUUCAACCAAACCGCGUUACUGUUCAUACGAGUCAAACCGUGUUACUGUUCAUCCGCGUGGUCAAACCGUGGACUGUUGACUGAUGACGUGGCGCAAUCCUGAGCGUCCAAACUGUUUUUAAUCCGAUGGCCAUGAUUUACUCUAUGUAUCUAUAAAAAGGGGGCCUCCCCCCCCUAAUUUGAUAUCUCUGAAUCCAUUUUUGGGAUUCAUUUUAUGUAAUUCCUUCUCCAUCUUGUAUUUUCUUCGUAUUUUAAUAAAUUCCUAUUUUGCCCCUAGUUCAAUUAUGAGUGGCUAAUUUUCUUUCAAGCUUGGGUUGAAGGUGAAGUCUCAACAUGUGUCAUGGGCUUAAUUUGGUAAAUUUAUUUUCUCUUCCUCUCUAGUUUUUGUGGAUGUUUUGACUUCUCGUCGACAAAUAAUAAUAAUCUUGUCUAGAUACCGCCUUGGUUACACCGGCUCUCUAGUAUAAGGUUAUUAUUAUUUGGCAUGAUAAGCCCUUAGCACCAUAUUGAUUAGAGCGUGGUUCAUGAGAUGUGGAUUCCCCCCUCAUGAUUUAAUUGGCAUUAAUACGGAUUAUUUAGCCCAUGAUGCAUGUUGAUACGGAUCCAGAUACCCAAGUACGUCAUUUCAAUAGAAUUAUCUUCAAUUUAUUCUCGCCAUUACAAUUCCAAUUUUAGAAUUUAUUCUCGCCAUUUUAAUUUAAGUUUUAGCAUAUUCCAAACCAUUUCCACCAUAAAUCCAACCACCCAUUUACAAAAUUAAUUCUACACAUAAUUAAAAUCCACCUCCUCGUGGGAUCGACACUCGUCACCAUUGAUUUAUACUAUAAUAGAUUCGUGCGCUUGCGAGUACAUUAAAAUUUGCACAACAGGAUCCAGAUACUUAAGUACGUCAUUUCAAUAGAUUUCGCUUCAAUUUAUUCUCGUCAUUUCAAUUCCAAUUUUAGAAUUUAUUAUCGCCAUUUCAAUUCCAAUUUUAGGAUAAUUUAAAUCACUUCCACCACAAUUCCAACCACCCAUUUACAAAAUUAAUUCUACAUAUAACUAAAAUCCACCUCCUCGUGGGAUCGACACUCGUCACCAUUAGUCUAUACUACAAUAGAUUCGUGCGCUUGCGAGUACAUUAAAAUUUGCACAACAUUGUGUCUUAAUGUUUCUACUGUUGCAAAAUCAAGUGUUCUAAUUUUAUGAGUUAUAUUAAAUAUUUUAUGGAUUUUCUAAUUCAACGAUCUCUGUCUUUAUCAUUACUGGACAAUUUUGAUACUUGCAUGUAAAAUUCUUUUUGCAAUAUGUUUAUGAUUUUAUUCAUUUUUUGAAUUUUUAUAUGAAAUGCUACACAUGUUUGUAGUUUCUUUUUUAAUUUUUACAAUUUUCCGACAUAUGAUUACCUUGGUAAAAUUCAGCUUGUAUAGGAUGGUCAGGUUUAGACUAAUUUUGAUGGUUUAGUGCUUAUGAGUUGGCUUGAUUAUGUUGGAUUUAUAUCAAGGUCAGAAUGAGCCAAAAUAAUUAUAAGAAUGUGUCUUGAUCUUUUAGGGCGAGUGUGAGCUCGUGGUUGAGGUUACCGUUCUUUUUAUUGCUGAGAAUUGAAGUAGAUUCAUGCAUGGUAUAUGUAUUUCACUAUUAAAUUACUUUUAAUUCUUGGUAUGUAUUAUGUUGAAUGAAAAGUUUAUGAAACUGAUUUGUUUAGCCUAUUACAAUAAUUUGUUAAUUAAAGUCAUUCUUUAAAAUUAUUUAUAACAUAAUUUUAUUUAUGAAAAACUUGUUUUAUAAAUUGUCUUAAAAAUAAAGACUUUUAUUAAAUUGUUUAAAGUCAAAUAUUUUGAAAUAAUUAUCAAUUAUUUAAAUGUAAUUUACAGAAGCUUACAAAUGAUUAAAAGUUUAAGGAUGGUUUUAAAUGAGUUGGCUCAUUAUAUGUAGUGAUGUUAUGUUACGGAAGGCUAGCCGGAUUUUUUGCGCAUAUGAUGUUAAUGUUAAUGAUUCUCGCGGGGUAUAAUGCCCUGAAUGAUGAUAUAUGGCUGGGUCAUUGGGUCUACAGGUGAUAUUAUGUGGCAUAAGCUAAAUUAAGUUUUAUGUGUUUAAAAUGGUAUUGUUAUGUUUAAAGGAUUUAAAUAACUUUAUGAUGUUUUGAUAUAUUUUUGCUAAAUGAUGAUUUACAAAGGUAAUUUCCCUUAUUAUUAUGCUUAUCUAAGAAAUUUUAAUCAAUUAUAUUUUAAUGAUUUUUAGCAUUGUACAUGAAUUUACUUACCGAGCUGACGACUCACCCCUCGCUACCACAUUUUUGCAGAUAGAGUUAGAUAAUAUGAGCUCAUGAUCUUAGGAGGAAGAAUACGAGCUCGAUUUGUUUUGGAGAUUAAUGUUAUGUUAAUAAUCUAUAAUUAUUUUAGCUUCCUUUGGGAUGAUAUUUAUUUGAAAUUUUGUUAUUUCAUUACUUAUUAUCUUUUGGAGGUUUAGAACAUUAUUGUUGGAUAUUAUUUUAAUGAUUUUAGAAAUGAGAAUGAUGAAAUAUAGUUUCACUUUAAUUUCAACUUAGUACCUUAUUAGUGGAAUUGGGGUGUUUCAUUAAUCGUUAGCAAAUUUUUAUAAUCAACAAUGAGCUAAAGAAAAUAAAUAUUUCA